GAAGAUGGGUGGUUUUGACUGGUCGGUCUACCAGACAGUUCAUACAUACUGAGUCAUAUGCAGUGCCUGCUUUGCUCUGCUGAUUUUGUUAGUUGUGCGCGCGUGGAUUGGCUUGGCUUGCCUUCAUAUAUGAUUGCAACAUUGAGUGUCACUAAAUGCAUAUUGUCAAGAGAGAGAGAGAGAGAGUGAGAGAGAGAAGGGAUUAGGUGGCCAAAGACUGGGCGUUGGAGUUGUAUGUAGACACACAGAAGAGAACUUUUGUUUUUCUUUUUUCUUUCAAAAAAGGUAAUUUAGAGUGGGGCGUGGAAGCUACCAGUACUUCCACAUCCACUUGUCAAAUGGUCACGUGGUAAAAUGUCAAUUCAAGUAAAUAAAUGAGAGCAGAAAAAUGAUGCCCCAAACUGCUAUCUACUCUACUGAAAUGCUUGCCCAUAUCCCACCCAUCAAACGCUAUCUGCACCAGAAGUCCUAGAUUCAAUUAUCCCUUCCCCGUAUCAGGGAAAAACAAAAAGAUUGCAGACCUUCUCAUGAAAGGCAACUUGUAUAAGAAUCUGAAUCAAGACCAGUUCAGUUCACUUCAAGCUUUCAAGCUCUACGGAGAAAUGACAGGCCAUGAAAGGUCAAGGGUAGAGCGUGGUCCAUGAAGGGGCAGACAGAUUGAGAUAUCCCACAAAACGGGUCGUCUUCUACCACUCCUACACUGCCAUUUGUCCCAAUUCACACCAUUCGUCAUGUUGAGUAAACAACCGUAAGGCUAAUGAAGUCUAGCUCAAUGAAAAAUGAUCUUGACUUGUAGACGAGUGUGUGUGUGAGAGAAUCCUCCUCCUCUUAAACCAACGCUUGUAUUUAAAUAAAUAAAAAAUAGAGACACAUAUUAUUUA